GUAGGGAAUAUUGGGCAAUGGUCGGAAGACUGACCCAGCCAUGCCGCGUGCAGGAAGACGGCCCUCUGGGUUGUAAACUGCUUUUAUCUGGGAAGAAAAAGGCCAUGCGUGGCAAAUUGCCGGUACCAGAUGAAUAAGCACCGACUAACUCCGUGCCAGCAGCCGCGGUAAUACGGAGGGUGCGAGCGUUGUCCGGAUUUAUUGGGUUUAAAGGGUGCGUAGGCGGCUGAUUAAGUCAGCGGUGAAAGACUUCGGCUUAACCGGAGCAGUGCCGUUGAUACUGGUUGGCUUGAGUGUCGGAGGGGUACAUGGAAUUGAUGGUGUAGCGGUGAAAUGCAUAGAUACCAUCAGGAACACCGAUAGCGAAGGCAUUGUACUGGCCGACAACUGACGCUGAUGCACGAAAGUGUGGGGAUCGAACAGGAUUAGAAACCCCUGUAGUCC
rnacentral:rRNA from 1 species